GGACGGGUAGCUCAGUCGGUAGAGCAUCGGACUUUUAAUCCGGUGGCCGCGGGUUCGAGUCCCGCCCCGUUCACCA
rnacentral:tRNA from 1 species